ACACCAGAACGCAUCUGCCGCCGCCACAAGCACCGCACCUCCGCCUCUGCCCCCAACCAUCCCAUCGCCGUCGCCUCUCACCCACCGCACCCCCGCCCCCUCUCCCAACUACCCCACCGCCGCAGACCGCCCUCCGCUCCGUCCACUGCCGACGUCGCCCCAAGCACCCCACAGCAGCGCCGCCAAGCACCCAACGGACACGGACCACCACCAGCGCUGACCAGCUCCGUCGCCGAGCCACUCCACCGCCGACCACCCUCCUCCACCGAACGCCUUCCCACGCUGCAUCGCAAGAUUCAUCUCUCGAGCAGGCGUCCUCCCCACAAGCUUCACCCGAGCAGCGAGCCGGUCGCCACCACUCCGUCUGCCGUCCCACCUCGCAGCAAUCUGAGACGCAUCGCUACUGAUGUUGCCUGCUUUUGGCCUUUUUAGACCUCCCAAUAAUUUAUCUUCUUAUCUGAUUUCUCAGUGAGAUAGAAAGAUGGAAGAGGGUGCGGCACAAGGAAAGGGGAUGAGUAUGGAUGCCUCCCCUUACCUCAGGAAAGUGGACCUCAAGAUGUAUUCUAGCCACUAAAACCUCCACUGGAAACAAAACUUUACUAUUAAUUGUUGAACGAGACCAUGAGCAAUGCAGCCUCGACCAUUACAUGUUUGCCUGCGAUUUUCAAACUGAUGAAUUUGGAGCAGAGACACUGAUGAUGUACACAUACCAAUCACCAGAGAAAGGAGUUCGAAGGAGGAAUUAAACACACGAAGAGAGAGAGAGAGAGAGGGGUUAAUAGAGAGGAAUCUUCUGCAAUCCACAGGGCAGUGCACAACGUGACUACCUCUACCUGGUGCAAACCCCUUUGCAUCCUCCGUAGAGCAGAGCACAACCAACAGCUCUGUAGCGAUGCAAUGCUUCUGUUACCUGUCCAAAAAGUAAACCCUUCUUCAUCCUCGCCACAUGGAGUGCAGGUUGGCAUCACACUGGAAGAUCUUCUGGUCGACGCGUAGUUGUACAAGUCAACUAGGAUACAUGGUGAUUCUUCUGUUCAUUGUGACAACACAAUCAAGUGGCUUGAGGCAUGUGGCCCUCUUUGAAUAAUGUAGCUUCACAUGAUGGUGGCGAGUCUUCUAUUCAGAACAUCCCAUGAUUACGGAAAUGGCAUUCAACAAACGGCUGAGCAGAAAUAUACAAAAGUGUGAACAUGCCAUUGUUUCCUAGACAUAGCUAUAGUGAUAAGUCAAGCUCAUACAGUUAGUGUAGCUUAGUUUGAAUACAUAACAUCUUAUUGUCUCAUGUAAAUUAUGUUUACCAAUGUAGUUGUUUGCUACUGAACACAUCUAUGGAUGUUGAGAUCUUGAAUUUUUAGUCUGAAUGUGUUUGAGGUCUGCCA